GCGUCCCCGCCGCGCUCGGGCCUCGGCGCCGCCGGUCGCCGCGCGGCUGCCGCCGGGAAACGGGGUGGGGGGUUGCCGCGUCCGGCAGGGCCCGACUCUGACCCACCGCCCCCUGGCGGCCGCUCGCGAAACCGCAGGGCCAUGCACCCCCUUGUGCGACAUGUGCUGCCGGCCCGGGCUCCAUGAGCGAGGCGGGCACUUUGCAGUCUCGAGCGUUCCUGCUCCCUUUUCUACUCCUUAGCCGGAGCAAAGGGGACGGGAACUGGAGAAGGCAGACUCGUUCCUGCAGUAUCGCCAAAAGAAAAAAUUACCAACAUGCCAUCCGACCACAUCACUUGAGGAAACAACUCUUUAUCCCGGCUUGCAGCCACGAGGUCUUGGAUGGGGGAGGGGUGGUAAAGAAUAGUCCCUUUGCUGCUGCUGCUUUUCCCUCUCAUUAGAACUGUACAGUAAAGGAUUGCUGUGGAUCAUACUGGAGUAUUUCAGGAUCUUUUUAAAUAAGACAUGAAUUUAAUACCUGUGGGUUUUUCAACUUUAUUCUCUUACACGUUUACACUUCUAUACAUUGUUGGUCUUUUAAACAUUGCCAGUGUUGCUUGGCUAUGUUAUCCUCAUUUUGGCAAAUGAAUGUAACUAAUUGAUACAAGAGCGUUAGAAAUAAGCAAAUUUAAAUUUAAGUAUGGGUUUGGAGGUGAUAAUAAUUUUCAGCAAAUAUGUUUGUCUUUUAUCCCUGUCUCCCCACCCCCCAACCCAGUCAUACACGUGGACCUAACUGCACCAAAAGCUUUUCUAAGGAUACUUGCAAGAAGAAAGUUUUCCCUAGUGGGAAAUCCUGUGACCAUGGAAAAAGUGACACUGCGACUUUUGAGGCUGCACAUAAAAAGCAUACAACUUCCACCUCAUCCACCUGACACUCACCAUUGGAACCAAAUCACCAUUUACUUGGGGCAGCUAAGUGCCCUUAAGAAGAAUCUAUGUGUCUGUAUCCCUGCCACCAUCUCAGUUAAGGGUGACUGAGUCUCCAGAUGAUGCCAGCCAUCAUCCUUCAAGCCUUUUCAGCUGACUCCAAAGGGCACCGAGAUGGCAUGCCCCCACCAGACCCUUCCAGAAUUAUGGACUUAUGAACAAAAUGUCAUUGUUUUCAACCACAAAGUUUUGGAGUGGUUUGAUAACUCAACAAUAGAUAACCAGAACAUAGGGUGAUUAAACCUACACUUGGGUCAAAUGAAAUGUUGCCAAACAUGACAAAUCACAUUGGACUAAAAAGAGUGUGCUUCUUAAGAGAUCCUGGACAUGCCACUUUCCAUAGUAGCUGGAUUUGAUUUUGUGUUCUCUGCCUCUGGGGAAGUAUAAGUGCAUUUUCAAUGUGAGUGGGAUAAUUGUAUUUACUAUAUUAGGCAGAGGCAAUGUGGGAAUUUUUGUGCAUGUCUAAUAUGAUGUUAUAACUGGAUCUUUCCUGUCUCCAUUUUGACAGAGGCACCAGUGAUCAACAUCAGAUCACUUAAAUGACAGUCUCCAAUUUCAUAUUGAUUUAUUCACCACGCAAUGCCUAGCAUACAUCACUUGUUACUCUGGGUGCUGGGAAUGAAGCAGUGAACAAAGCAGUUAAAAUUUUCUUCCCACAUGAAGCUUACAUAUGUGGAAUUAGAAAGUAACCAUCUCUAAAAACCUGUUCCUUAAGGACUAUAAAAAGGAGUCAGGAUGUAGUAAAGGGGAAUUUGGUCAGGACACUUUAUUGGAGAGAGUUGUUUGUGUGUGUGUGAGUUAAUCAGGAGCGGCUGGGUUAUGUUAUGAUAACAAAUACACACGGAUGAGCCAGAGAUUGGACAUGUGUAGGACGUCAUGAAUAUUGUCCAAUAAGGGCCAGAAAAUCUCAGCAGAAAAAGAAUGAAGGUGAACAUACAUAGUAUGAGUGUGGAACAAAAUGAUAGAAGAUCAUUAGGGAGUCAUCUGCCUGAUCAAGGGCAGUGUAGCAGAGAGAUCGUGUAUUAAGGAGUCUCUGAAGAGAGGAAGGGCAAGAGCAGAGUCCAGAGAGAUUCACACUUUGUUCCCUCUGCCUCCCUCCUCCCUUCCCAUGGCAUGCCUCUAGAGAGAGCAGAUCCAAGCUGGGGUAAAAGAACGUUCGAUGGUGAAUCAAGUUAAAGAUUUUGCUUACGAGUUUGUACUGGAUGUCCAAUUUUUAAAUUGAAACUGUGUUUACUACUGAUAGUAACUGAACAACUUUUAUUUUUUGCAAGGGAGUGAUCACAAAAAUUAUGGACCUGUCCAAAUAUUCUUUCAAGGUAAGGGGAUAUUACCAGAACUGAGUAAAUCUUGAAGCCAAGGUAAGAGACAUAACUUAAUUGUCACCGCGAUCACAAUCCUUAUGUCACGCUUGUUCAACACAACCAGGUUACAUCUAUGGGGUAAAGGGUUUGUUUCUCCUGGGUAAACAAUGCAUAGAUCUCCACUUUUGCUACUGUUUACUGGUAAGAGAAUUCCAUUUCCUUAGGGGAAUAAGUUAACUGGAGAUCAUUCCACCUAUCUGUAAUCAUAAAGUGGACACCUGAGAAUCUCAGGUGAGAAUGAUGGGUAGGUAGCAGGAUCAGCAUUUGACCCAAGAGUCCAUGUGACUCUUGUUUUCAUAACUUCAGGGUAAGAGCUGCAGCUUUCUGUUGGGAUUACUGAUCUGUGGGUGGCCAUUUAUUUCCACAAUGUGGAAAGAGAGAGAGCACAAGCCUGCUUCAGUAUAUCACUUUAAACCCAGAUCCAGCUUUACCAUGAAAAAACCUCACUCAUUAAAGCGACUAAACUUCAGUUUUUACUUAAGUAAUUUGAGGUGUCUCUUUCAACACAAUUUUGACCAACACCUGUAGUAUAUUUGAAGAGGAACCAAUAUAUGCCUCAUCAUCUGUAGUAUGCCUAUCAAACAAUACUUCUUAGUCUUUAUGGGUCUUGGAUCCUUCGAAAUAUAAUGAAAUCCAAGGACUUUCCAUUAGUUACAUAUUAGCACAAUUAACUCUAUAUUGGAAUUUGGUUUUCUUCACAUAGAUGACAAAGCAACAUUUAUAAAGAGCUAUAUCUUCCUCACAUUUCUUCAAAUAUUGAAUAUGGAUUAAAAAAUUAUCAAAUAAGGUAAAAAGUAAAUUCAAGGAGAAGGAUGCUCCGCUUGGCCGGGAGGCAAACUUGACACGGUGGAGUGGUUUUUGAUUCAUUCUGCUAUGGCAAGCAAUCCUUGCUGCUCUCUACCUCUGACCACACAGAAGACCCCUUCAGUGUGGCUUGCAGUGCUUAUAGGUGUUUGUAAGUUUCUGUUUAUAGUGAAGUUUUCAGGACUCUGUCAUUUUAAUCCAUAGCCUGAAGAAUUUUCUCAGCUCUGGACUAUCUCCAGGGUUAACUGCUUUCAGUAUCCCUUUCCAGAGUGGCAACUUGUACCUAACAAUAAGUUUUUGUUUUUUUUUUUUUUUUCAUCAGUAUCUUCAAUGCCACAUCAAGGCCUCCAGUCAAAGGAUUUACCUUAUUCAUGUGGCUGAAAAUAUCUGUCAAAUGACCCUAUUCAUGAGUCAACUCUUCCCUGUCAAAUGGAGCUGGAAUUUGGGUUGAUUAUAUCCUCCUAAUAGUGAAACUUCUACAUAAGCUUCAGGCACAAGACACGGACCUCCUCAUUCAUCAGGCCAAGGAAGCCCGGAAAUUUUCCCACAAGACCAGCCAGGAGACUCCGAACACUGGUGGGAGCCAAGAGGAUACAUCAGGGUCCCUGGUCCUGAAUGAAGCACCACCAGCACUUGGGAAAGUGCUACCAGCCACAACAGUCAUUAGAACACUCCCACAUGCAAGAGGGCCCUGUAGAGCCAUAUUCCAGAGUGACAACUACUUUUUAAAAUCACUAAAAUCUUCUUAAACUUAUAAGCAUGUCUUUAAAAAUAGGUAUAAUCUGCUUCACUUAUGAAAGAUGUAUUGUUGUUAUUUUCUGAUUUCUUCCAAUUAAGAUUUUCAAACAGCAACAUUCUAUGUGACCCAUUAGUGUUUAUUAGAAAUCUUUCAGUCAGCAUACGGUUUUCCAGAUACUUAUCAAUAUUUUUUUUCUCGAACGAUUUCCAUCUAUUUUCCAAAUAGAAUUUCCUAAAAUGUGAGCCACUAUAUUUUUGUUGGAUGAACAAACCACAUUAGUUUAAAACAGAAAUCAUACAUAUUGUCUACAUAUUAUUUUAAAUGUUUUUUUCCUUCAUAGACUUGAAGUUUCUCUCAGCUGUUUAUUUUUUGUUCUGUGAGGGUUGGAAUUAGUCGGGUAUUGCCACUUUUGAACAGUUGGUGGCUCCAACGCUUUGCAACUGUCUUACAAGUAUGGCACCAAAAUAAGAUCGCUCUCUUUCACUGUUCCAUGCAGAAUUUGAAAACAAAAGUGCAUUUGAGUAAAUGUGGUGCAUUUAAUCAGAAGCUAAAAGUUAUAUCAGAUACGAAUUCAGAAGAAAAGUUUUAAUCUUAGCAUAUGAUUCAAACUAUGUAAUAAUGCAAGUAAAUACAUAGUAGUAUAUUCACUAAGUGCACUUAAAGCAUCACAAGUGUUCCACUAGAAAUAUAAUGUAAGCCAUAUAGGUAAUUUAAAAAUUUCUAGCAGCCGCAUUUUUAAAAAGAAUAAAAAUAAAUGGGUGAAAUUAAUAUGACUAAUUUAUUUUAUUUAAUCUGACAUAUCCAGGUCAUUAUUUCAACAUGUAAUUAAUAUAAAAGUUACUAAUGAGAUAUUUUACGUGCUUUUUUCCCCUUCCACACCCGAUGUAUAUUUUAUACUUACAGCAUAUCUGAAUUUCGACUACCAUAUUUUAAGAGCUCAGUAGCUGCAUAUGGCUAGUGGCUACUGUAUUGGUGAGUUGAGGUCUAAAGUACCUAAGGGUAGCUCUUCUAUUCAGAUUAGAUGCAAUCUAUGAAUAUCAGGUGGCAAUUAAUUUUUGUAAAUGAAAUUCUGUAAAGAAAUUCUUAUUUUUGCAUUAAUUUGGUCCUAAGAUUGGAGGUUUUUUCCUACAGAAAAUCAUUCAGGAGACUUACCUUACAAUUUUGAUGAGAUAGGAAUGAAGCAUAUGACUUAGCUAGCAGCAUAUUAGUUUGUGUUACUGACAGUUUUAGAGACUGCAUUAGCAAGGAUUUUGAGAUUUCUCUAGAGCCAUUAUUGGUCCCUUAAUAUUUUAGGUAGAUUCUAACAUUUACCCAAUGCUUGACUUUGAUUUCUGAUUCUCCCCUUCCGUUAUUUCUAGAAUUUAGCUUGUCGCAUUCUUUUAUUUGGCCUUUGCAGUCUACUCAGACUACAUUGUGUUUCCUUUCUCAGGCUGCUGUUAACAUUCAGAUUGUAUAAGAGCAUGGCCUCUGGAGUCAAACCCGCUGAUUUGAGUCCAGGCUUCACCACUAACUGGUCAUGUGACCUCGGACCAACCAGAUACUCCUUGUGCUUCAGUUGACAUCUAAAAACUGCAGAAAAUUAUAAUGCCUGGCUCCUGAAUUGUGGUGAAGAUUAAAUAAGACAUGUCGGUCCUUGGCAUCUACCACACAGUAAACAUCAACUUGCACGUGUCUUAGCUCAAUCCUUUGGUCCCGUGAAAUGUAUUGGUGUUGUCUCUUAUCAACUCUAUCAUAUUUAACAAAAUAAAAUAACUUGAUGGUAGACCUUUAUUUUUUAUUGUUGAAUGAGGAAUUUCAUUGGAGAUGCUUCCUAUUGACACAGAUAACUUAAUAAAAUAAAGUUGUCUGGUCUUCCUCAGAUCACCAGAUAGGAUCUUCUGAAUAUUUCACAAGGAAAGUGCUGAGGAAGCACAGUGACUGAAGGUCAUGGCUCUAGACGUAUUCUGGAAAAUAUGGCUUCAAACAAAAUACAAAUUUUCUUAUUUCUCCCCUGUGCUGUUUAUUCUUUAUUAAAUAGGAUCUAUUCUGUUGCUAAGGAAGGCAAAAAUUCAACUUUUCAAGUGUAAUUGUUCUGUACAUCUACGCAACAUAUCUACUGUGUAAUUAUGGUGUGCUAGGUGUUAUGGUUGUUACAUUGGUUUUGCUUAGAGAAAAUGAAGCAUUUAAAAAGUUUGAGAACAGUAAAUUGGUUCUGGGUCUUGGUGAAUAAACUUGACAUACUACUUAAACACACAGAAAUUAAACACGCUUUUCAAGGUAGUCAAGAAUGUUUAUUACUUCCUCAACUGUAAACUGAGGUUUAAAAAAAUGUAGAACAUUUGAAAAAAAAGUCAUCUCUGCCAUCUGUUGUAGUCCAAUCCGGGAAUAAUGAUCUAUGGAGGAAAAGGAAACAAAAGCCAGUAAGUUGGUAACAAUUCCAAAAACACCUACUAGAAAAGUAUUUGUGUACUGAUUAGUAUCUUGGAUUUUUCAAUUGAUUAAGUUUUUACCAUCUGUGGCCACAGCUGUCAGAUCUAUUUCUGGACAGUAAGAAUGUGGAAUAAGUCAGGAACUAGAAAUACAUUAUAAAACAUAUCAUGUGGCAUAACUUAAGAUGAAAUUGUACAUUAAGAAUAUGCUGUAUUUGUGUUUUAAUCCUCUAUCCAUUAAAAUAUUCAUGAAUAGAUUAUAUCCCUACAUUCAAUAAAUAUUUAUUUUGUGCCUGA